rnacentral:lncRNA from 1 species
UUUGAUUCACAUUGAUUCGAAAUUAAUCGAUACGAAACGAGUUUUGAAAAUCCACUUGACGUUGGAUCAAGGGUUUUUAUUAUAUUUGAAAAUAUCUUAUUUAUCCUUUAUUUUUUUAGUUAAUUAAGAUGAUUUAUAAAUAAAUAAAUAAAAGGAAAUAAGAAAGAAAAUGGGUGUGACAGAAAUGUGGGGUAGAUGGGGAUAACAAUAAACUUAUCAUGGC